AAGAUCAUACUUCACAGGAUCAUUUCUGUAGUAUGUUCGAUGAAUUUCCUGUCUGAAAUUCAAAGACACUUCAAACCAUGAGGAUGAGGUACAGUUCCACCAUCAGAGCGUGAAGGGGUUCAAGAUACCCUCGGGUGAACUUGAACAUUGAUGAUCGCUUGUUACUCCUCGGAGUAACAUGUGGUGUUGGAACUAUCUGAGUGGC